rnacentral:tRNA from 1 species
GGCCUCGUAGCUGAGCUGGUAGAGCAUGCGCGUACGGAGGCGGCGUCUAUGCGUGGGUUCGAAUCCCACAGAAGCUA